GGGUGCGGGGCUGCCGCCGCCCGCAGGAGCCGCCGCCGCCUAUUGUUCAUGCGGCUCCGCAGAGCUGGGGGGACACCCCUCCCCCGACGGCGGCCUCAGUUGCCAACCACCUCUCUGACAUGGAGCAGCUACUUGGGAGGAGAAUGCAGAGAAACCUAGGGAAGAUGUGUGAGACAUGGGCUCUGCUGGCAUCCAGACGGCGAAGAAGCAGAAGUGUUGACUCCCUCCUUGUCAGAUGGGAUCUGGGGACCAGCCGCUGAGAGCUCUAAGGACAAAAAAGAGUCAGAUGACUCGGGACAGAUUGGAGCCAAACCAUUUCCUUCAGUCCCUGAGCACAUUGUUUCCCUCUGGUGCCUCCGCGAUCCAGAAACAGCUGCAAUAAAA